ensembl:snoRNA
AACCAAUGAUGAAAAUGAUUCUGCCAUAUGAAACACUGAAACACUGAUUACACUUAUUUUACCGUUCCACAUUUUCUGAGGUU